rnacentral:rRNA from 8 species
UCCGGCCGGGAACUCAAAGGAGACUGCCAGUGAUAAACUGGAGGAAGGUGGGGAUGACGUCAAGUCAUCAUGGCCCUUACGACCAGGGCUACACACGUGCUACAAUGGCGCAUACAAAGAGAAGCGACCUCGCGAGAGCAAGCGGACCUCAUAAAGUGCGUCGUAGUCCGGAUUGGAGUCUGCAACUCGACUCCAUGAAGUCGGAAUCGCUAGUAAUCGUGGAUCAGAAUGCCACGGUGAAUACGUUCCCGGGCCUUGUACACACCGCCCGUCACACCAUGGGAGUGGGUUGCAAAAGAAGUAGGUAGCUUAACCUUCGGGAGGGCGCUUACCACUUUGUGAUUCAUGACUGGGGUGAAGUCGUAACAAGGUAACCGUAGGGGAACCUGCGGUUGGAUCACCUCCUUACCUUAAAGAA